rnacentral:lncRNA from 1 species
CCUGUCUCCCUCCUACUUUCAGGGGCUGUUGGCUUUGUUGUCAUGCUAUCAGAGGGCAUGGAGUCAUGAAGACACCUCCAGGGAAGCAGGGAGAGGCACGUGGGCUUAGAUCCAGGUCUGGGGAAGGAAGACAUGCCUAUCCUUUUACAUAGAGACCCAGGAACACAGCCGCUACCACUGAUCCUCCCUCCCUCACCAUCCACUUCACAGGCUCAGAGAGGACCGGGGUUUAUCUAGGGUCACAGUGCCAAUGAGCAAGAGUGGGUUGCUAUGGGCAUUGUUGUGGGUGUGUGCCACGCCACUGCUAGGCAAAUGGAUUUUGUCUUGUCUUCGUUUUUUGGAGACAGGAUUUCUCAGUGACAUCCUGGCUGUCCUGGAACUUGCUCUGUAGACCAGGCUGGCGUCCAACUCAGAGAUCUGGGAUUAAUGGUGUCUACCACCACUGGCUUCCUGCGAAGUUUGACUACCAGCUUCCGGAGAGGAUGGCUCCCAGUGUCCUGAAAGGGAACCUUCCUGGGGUAAUUACCUUCUGUUUGCUUGCAUUUUCUCCUGAAAGAAUGGGCUUGUGUUUGCCAUGUUGCAAGAGGACCCUUCUGUGAUGCUGAGCUCCAGGUCUCUGUGGUCCAGAGGAUCCAGGAGGCUGUGUCAGGCCCAGGGCAGAAGGCCUUAUUGGAGGUGCUGGAGUCCCCGAGAGGCACAGGGGAAGAGGGGACUCUGAGCAAAAGACCAAGAAGCCUCCAUCUUCCUUGCUGCACUCCAGCCACAGCAGGAACAGGGCCCAGCACCUGCUCUGCAGACCCAGGUCUCCUCUCCAUCAGUUCACAUCCUCAGGUAUUAUCUUGCUACCCAGCAGUACCUGUUCUACCAUCUAUACCUGCCCCAGCUGCCCCUGCCCAUCUCACCUCCCCAGCUGCCCCAGCUGCCCCUGCCCAUCGUACCUUCCCAUCUGCCCCGCCUGCCCCAUCUGCCCCUGCCCAUCUUACCUCCCCACCUGCUCCAGCUGCCCCAGCUGCCCCUGCCCAUCUCACCUCCCCCCUUGAUUUGCCCCAGCUGAUGAUAUCACCGAGCACAAUAUGACUGUUAAUUACUGAACUGGAUGGCACUCUCCACGUGGGCUGGAGUAAACGUGAAUUCCUCCCAGGCUUAUGUCCUCCUGGGGUCAUGUACUGGCAGGGUCAUAUUCCUGGGACAUGUGUACUAGGACCCAAGUGAGUCUCCUGCACAGUGUCCUCCUCACAGGCAGACUCCAUUUAGCAGCAGAGCCUCCUACAUUUUGUAUUGAAAUAUUUUAACAGGAGA